AUGUUGUUUCUUGUUGAUUCCUGCCGAGGGGGGAUGUUUUAAGUUAUUUGGCAUUAUUGGCUAAGGGCUAAGCUAACUAGCCGCUAAUGUGGUCUGCUU